rnacentral:rRNA from 1 species
CAGCCGCCACGGGAAUACGAGGGGGGCAAGCGUUGUUCGGAAUUAUUGGGCGUAAAGGGUGCGUAGGCGGCUUGACAAGUCUUGUGUGAAAUCUAUGGGCUCAACCCAUAGUCUGCACGAGAAACUGUCGGGCUUGAGAAUGGGAGAGGUGAGUGGAAUUUCCGAUGUAGAGGUGAAAUUCGUAGAUAUUGGGAAGAACACCAGUGGCGAAGGCGGCUCACUGGACCGACACUGACGCUGAGGCGCGAAAGCGUGGGGAGCAAACAGGAUUAGAUACCCCCGUAGUCCCUGUCUCUUAUAC